CACCCCCUCUUGUCAUUGUCUUCUUCCACGCCAACCACCCCAAAGGACCCAUCGUUUCUUCUUCUUCUGAAUCAGAGAAUCAAGACCUCCAUUAGAAAACACCAUCGAAGACCUCUUGAUCUUCAGCUUCUUCUGCAGCAGCACAAACCAAAAGCAAUGACCCCUAAGUUGUUCCUCUUCUGUCUCGAAGCAGCAGGACCUGCAACCUUCCAACGAUCCCUCCCCACCAUGAACUGAUCUUCCUCAGUCGCUGAACACCCAGAAACACCUCCUCCAUCGACGCUCCUCUUCUUCAACUUCAUAGAGUCCAUUUUGAAGUCCGUUCGUUGAGUUGUUCGGGGUCGAGCGCUAGAGACGUUUGAGGUCGUCGGGUCCCUGUUCCGUUUGUGGUCAUUUUCUGGUGCAUUUCUGGUCCCUUACUCUAUUUUGGUGUGGUUAAAAGUAUAAUAAGAGUAGUAGAGGUUGAAUUCCGGGAACUGAGUUGGUAGUUGUAAGAGAUUUUGUGUUUUUGCUUAUCGUGUGAUGCACUAUUCUGUCGAAGGGUGUUCUAAAUUUGGUGUUUGUCGAUUUUUCUAUAGAAUUUGCUAGUGUUCAAGUUGUCGCAAAUCUGUUAACCAUGAAAUUCACAUCUCUGAUUCGUUGAAAUGUUUGAGCUGCUGCAGUUUUGUCUCAAAUUCUCGAUUACUGUCAAUAUGUGUCCAAUUUCCCUUUGUGAUUUUGUUUUGUUUCAUUUUUCAGUCAUUCUUUGGCUUGUUACGAGUAGAGUUUGGAUGCGGAACUUAUUGUCUGUUCGUUAAUAUGGAGCUACUGGAAAUAUUUUCUUUUGGAGUUGUUGAUCUUUUGUAUUUAGUUGUAAAUUUGGUUAAUUUGAGUAGUUUUAGAUUGUUAAGCAAAUACUAAGCUAAGAAUAGAAGGAAUUGUUUCACGAGUUAAUUUUGAACAUUGAAGCAAAAAAAUGAAACUUCAGGAACGGUGGUGGACUGAUGUAAUUAUGUGCUGGGAUACUACUUAUAUUUAUUUUAUGAAAGUUAGUUUGAGCUUUAUCCUUUGUUAAAGGUUUCCAAAAACAAUCAGAUUCUAAUUUUAAAGAAGUUGAUUUUGGGUUUAAAAUUGCGAAGUGGCCAGUAUCAUAUUUAGUUCGAUCCUUUGUUAUUCUAGUAGUCUUUGUCUUAUUUCGUGCGUCUUGGAUGUUUACAUGUCUCGAUAUCUCAUUUGUGGUGAUCGGUAUAUUUUUGUUUUGAAUGACCGUGGGAUCAUGGGGAGUGAUAGAAAGGCCAAAGCCCUUUAGCAAUUAAUUUAUUCCAUAUUUUAGGUAUCGGGCUCGGCCGGAUAGGAGAAGGGUUUAAAAGGGAAUGUUCAUGAAAUCUCGUUUAGUAAAAGUAUUCCAUAACUCAUGGCCCUCACGAGUGUUAUAAUUUAGAUAUUAAAAAUGAACUUCGUAGUUUGCUUUAGGCGCGGUAGUUAUAUAAUUAUCAUGGCUUUUGUUAAAAUCCGUGGGUGUAUUUCAUGUGACCCGGUUCUAAUUUCCAACAAGGUUAAAUAGAGCGUGUCAUGAACUACGGGUGCAUUUCAUGUGACGUGGCUUGCGAUAUGUUUUAAAUAACCUUGAAUUAAUUCCUUAAAUAAGUAAAAGCAGUUUUCAAAAGUUAAAAGGCACAUAGGUUUAAGAGUAUUUUAAAAUCAAGUAAAUAGGCCAAUAAUAACAGUUGAGCGACCGCGCUAAAAUCACGGAACUCAGGAAUGCCUAACAUCUUCUCCCGGGUUAACAAAAUUCCUUACCCAAAUUUCUGUGUGCGCGGACUGAAAAAUAGAGUCAAUCUUUCCUUGAUUCGGGAUUUAAAACCGGUGACUUGGGACACCAUAAAUUAUCCCAAGUGGCGACUCUGAUUUUUAAAUAAUAAUCCCGUUUUGAUUGUCACUUUAAGUUGGAAAAAACUCCCUUGUACCCUUCCGGAGGGUAGGAAAAAGGAGGUAUGACAAAACUAACAUUCUUUCUGAGAGUAAAGAACAAGAUGAUGAAGCAAUUGGGUUGGUAAGAAACUCAAAUGAAACUACAUCCAAGCCUGAAGCUGCACCAGAGGAAGGAACUAGUGAUGGAACUUGUCCUUCCACCCAUGACAACCUGAUAGGGGGAAUUGAAUAGAGAGGAACUGAUCCUCAAACCUCGAGGGAACCUAUUCAUGAACAUGUUCCUCAACAACUAAACAUUGAAGGAACGUCUAGGGGAAACCAGCUGGUUGUGAAACCUUACAAGUAUCAAAGUUAUCAUCCCAUUAGGAACAUAAUCACUUAUCCAACCUCUGGAAUCAAAACCAGAUCUUCUUUGAAAAACCUAUGUACUUUUGAUGAUUUUUUUAUCUCUUAGUGAACAUAAAAAUAUUUUUGAGGCUUUGCAGGAUGCAGACUAGAGGAAUG
rnacentral:lncRNA from 1 species